rnacentral:rRNA from 1 species
GAUGAACGCUGGCGGCGUGCCUAAUACAUGCAAGUCGAGCGAACGGACGAGAAGCUUGCUUCUCUGAUGUUAGCGGCGGACGGGUGAGUAACACGUGGAUAACCUACCUAUAAGACUGGGAUAACUUCGGGAAACCGGAGCUACUACCGAAUAAUAUUUUGAACCGCAUGGUUCAAAAGUGAAAGACGGUCUUGCUGUCACUUAUAGAUGGAUCCGCGCUGCAUUAGCUAGUUGGUAAGGUAACGGCUUACCAAGGCAACGAUGCAUAGCCGACCUGAGAGGGUGAUCGGACACACUGGAACUGAGACACGGCCCAGACUCCGACGGGAGGCAGCAGUAGGGAAUCUUACGCAAUGGGCGAAAGCCUGACGGAGCAACGCCGCGUGAGUGAUGAAGGUCUUCGGAUCGUAAAACGCUGUUAUUAGGGAAGAUCAUAUGUGUAAGUAACUGUGCACAUCAUGACGGUACCGAAUCAGAAAGCCACGGCUAACUACGUG